GCUGGCUGUUCAGAGGUGGGUGCCCUGUGUGGGGAGGCUCUUUGAUUCCUGGGGAGGAAGGCUAGAGAACAGGCAGCUCUUUUCUCUCUGCUAGAAAAGAGGAGGCGGCUCCUCACAAGGUUCCUUCCCACAGCUGAGCACUGCCCACAGCUGCCCUUGCCCCUGCCUUUCCACGUUGCACAAGCCCAGCGCACGGUACCCACUGGAUAUGCCCGAGGCCUCCAGAGGAAAGGAAAGGAGGAAAAGGGACAGAAGAAAUGUUCACAGGAACUGCAUAUGGGCCUGCUACUUGUGUCAAAAUGUGACUGAACUCUCUUCCAGCAGGUGUGGGGAAAAGAGUGACUUCACCUUAAAUGUUAACCUGCCAUGUAACUUCUGACUAAUCCCAGGUCCAGAAAUGCCUCCAAAUGUCUCGUUGCUGUAUUACUCUUUAUGUGGAAACACCUGUUCACUCUUACUCUGAGGGAGGUCUGAAUGCCAUAUUGUGAGCGGCCCUGCUGAAAGACCCAUGUGGCAAGGAUCUGAGAUCAUUGGCCAACAGGCUGCAAAGAGUCCUACCAACAGCCAGGCUGGUGUUCUUGGAAGUGGAUCUUCUCCUACUCUCCUACUUGAGAUGACUGCAGCCCCAGCUAACACUUCGAUUGCAGCCUUGUUAAGAUAUCACGGGCCAGACACACCCAGCUAAGUUAUGCCUGAGUUACUAGCCCACAGAAAUGAUAAGAUAAUAAAUAUUUGCUGUUUUAAGCUGCUAAGUUUUGGGUUAAUUUGUUAUACAACAAUGGAUAACUAAUACAAGUGCAGUCAUUGAUCUCAUUGAACACACCCGUAAUUCUUUGGAAAAAUGUCUACUUUCUCACCAAACUAAAAUCCAUUAAUUCCAGUAGUUAGGUGUUUGGCAAUGCCUUUAAAACGAUGCAUAGAAGUACAUGGCCAGGUCUUUAAAAUUGCGUUGCUAGACUGAAGAAGAGCUGUCUGACUUACUGGGCUUCCCACGUUCCUGCCUUCAGUUCCUGGGUUAGUGUCACAGGUUGCGGAUUUUCCACUCCAUCUCCCAGUCAUGUCUCUGGCACUUCCCCCGCUUGGCUCCUAGUAAUCAACUUUGGCUGACCUCUAACUCUCCACCUCCUGGACCACAAAAUAAACCCAAUGCUCUGAUCAUAGCUCCUCUGCAACUAUGUUUACUCCUUGGUUUGGGAUCUGCCCAGACUCUCAUUACGCCUGCCAUAGCAUUAUCCCUCUGUCCUGUACCUACGGAUGAAGCAAACCAUUGAUUUCUCCAACUAUGCUAAGUAAGAGCAAGUCAUAUUUGUGAAUCCCUGGAAGGCAAGAUCGCCAUUCUGGUCUCUUGUGGAUAUCAAUGCUGAUCUCAGCUUCUGAUGCACGGCAGUCAAUUAAUAAAUGAUUGUUGCCUGAAAAACUGAGCCCCAAAACAAUAUUACAAGUUUAAUAUCAGUAAAGGAUUUAAUGCUUUCUAACAUGAAGAUACCAGAUCUUUUCUAUUCCUGGACUUUUAGAGUUGCUGAUUUUUGUAUAACCCAGAGAUGGAUUUAAAUGCAGAGUGUAUGAACUUCUUCAUUCCUGAGGGAGGACUUAUGAUUUCAUGAGAAAUGCCCUAGGAAAGGGGCCGGGGAGACUGAUGGAGAAGAAGAGUUUGGGAGGGAAGCCCCAAGGACCAUCUGCCCCAUCAGAGUCACAUGCAGAGGGUCCUGCUCCUGCCGUUGGAAGUUGGCUUCCUGAGCUGCUGAACGUGCCAGUCCUGCUGACCCACUCUCAGAUAUCACAGGCACCCGCUGUGUCUGACAGAGACCUUUCUGCAAGUACACGUGCAGGUCUGCUCUGCAAAGGCGUUAUCAUCUGCAGAUUAUUGCACAGAGUGGCUACGAGCUGUGGUGUGAUCCUGUCACAGAGAGAGCCUGGUCACGUUUUCAGAACAGCAGGAAACAGGACAUUUUGAAACAUGUUUUCAGUGGUGAAAAGGACGUCUGCAAGAGGAACUGAAAGAGAAAUAAACAGUCACUGGAAACACACGCUGAAGGCGGGGAUUGGGGCACAUAUUAAUAAAAUAGCUUGAGUAAAAUUGGAUAAUGCACAAGAACAGCAAAACAGAACAAAACAAAACCCAACAACGAUGAGGAAUUCAUCAGUGAAGGGCUCGCGGAAUGUUCUGAGAAUAAUUCUUCCUUGCUAAUGCCCUCCAGUUUGCAUUAAGAUGCCCAGCAGUUCACCCUCCAGUCUGAGCCAGGCCAGCUACACAGGCUGAAAGUUUCUUAGGCCCUCGAUGACGAUCCUGGACAGGCACCCUGAACACAGCCUCCCCGGUACAUUCUUAGUGCACUCACAGAAUCUGCUGCUUCCCAGGUCUUUUGGAUGUGAAAUGAAACCCCAAGGACUGCUUUAACAAGGGGCAAAAACACAUGCAACCAAAGCCAGCAGUUAUGCCGAAGCAUCCCGGAUUCCCAUGAGAAACUCUCUGGAUCUAGUUCCUCUACGUCACAUGAGUGUGCAAACAGGAGACUACAAGAGUUUAAAAAUACUGGGACUGCUGGAGAUUUCCCUGGCCAUAUAUAGUUCACUUGUUUCACAGUAAGUUCAAAAGAGACAAAGGGAGAGGGAGGGAAAGAAAGAAGGCAACGGGCACUCAGCUUGAGUGAGUAGGGAACCUGAUUACAAUACUGUGCCACCUUCCUUCUCCCCCCAGCUCCGCCCCGGCACUCUCACCCCCAG
rnacentral:lncRNA from 1 species